rnacentral:piRNA from 1 species
UCCUACAGGAGAAGUUAGUUGCUAGAUCAA